GACGAACGCUGGCGGCGUGCCUAAUACAUGCAAGUCGAACGCAUUUUCUUUCACCGUAGCUUGCUACACCGAAAGAAAAUGAGUGGCGAACGGGUGAGUAACACGUGGGUAACCUGCCCAUCAGCGGGGGAUAACACUUGGAAACAGGUGCUAAUACCGCAUAAUUCCAUUUACCGCAUGGUAGAUGGAUGAAAGGCGCUUUUGCGUCACUGAUGGAUGGACCCGCGGUGCAUUAGCUAGUUGGUGGGGUAACGGCCUACCAAGGCUGCGAUGCAUAGCCGACCUGAGAGGGUGAUCGGCCACACUGGGACUGAGACACGGCCCAGACUCCUACGGGAGGCAGUAGUAGGGAAUCUUCGGCAAUGGACACAAGUCUGACCGAGCAACGCCGCGUGAGUGAAGAAGGUUUUCGGAUCGUAAAACUCUGUUGUUAGAGAAGAACAAGGAUGAGAGUGGAAAGUUCAUCCCUUGACGGUAUCUAACCAGAAAGCCACGGCUAACUACGUG
rnacentral:rRNA from 1 species